rnacentral:tRNA from 1 species
GUGGCUAUAGUUUAACGGUAAAACUUCGGUUUGUGGAACCGAUGUCAAGGGUUCAACUCCCUUUAGCCACC